UACGUAGGGGGCAAGCGUUGUCCGGAUUUAUUGGGCGUAAAGAGCGUGUAGGCGGUUUUACAGGUCCGCUGUGAAAACUCGAGGCUCAACCUCGAGCUGUCGGUGGAAACCGUGUGGCUAGAGUCCGGAAGAGGAGAGUGGAAUUCCUGGUGUAGCGGUGAAAUGCGCAGAUAUCAGGAAGAACACCCGUGGCGAAGGCGGCUCUCUGGGACGGUACUGACGCUGAGACGCGAAAGCGUGGGGAGCGAACAGG
rnacentral:rRNA from 1 species